rnacentral:rRNA from 1 species
GUGAGGAAUUUUCCGCAAUGGGCGAAAGCCUGACGGAGCAAUGCCGCGUGAAGGAUGAAGGCCUAUGGGUUGUAAACUUCUUUUCUCAGAAAAGAAUUAUGACGGUAUCUGAGGAAUAAGCAUCGGCUAACUCUGUGCCAGCAGCCGCGGUAAGACAGAGGAUGCAAGCGUUAUCCGGAAUGAUUGGGCGUAAAGCGUCUGUAGGUUGUUUAAAAAGUAUUCUGUCAAAGAUUAGGGCUUAACCCUAGAUAGGCAGAAUAAACUUUUAAGCUAGAGUUUGGUAGAGGCAGAGGGAAUUCCCGGUGGAGCGGUGAAAUGCGUCGAUAUCGGGAGGAACACCAAAGGCGAAGGCACUCUGCUGGGCCAAUACUAACACUGAGAGACGAAAGCGAGGGGAGCAAAUGGGAUUAGAUACCCGUGUAGUCC